rnacentral:rRNA from 1 species
AUACGUAGGGUGCGAGCGUUGUCCGGAAUUACUGGGCGUAAAGAGCUCGUAGGUGGUUUGUCGCGUCGUCUGUGAAAUUCCGGGGCUUAACUCCGGGCGUGCAGGCGAUACGGGCAUAACUUGAGUACUGUAGGGGAGACUGGAAUUCCUGGUGUAGCGGUGAAAUGCGCAGAUAUCAGGAGGAACACCGGUGGCGAAGGCGGGUCCCUGGGCAGUAACGGACGCUGAGGAGCGAAAGCAUGGGUAGCGAACAGGAUUAGAUCCCCUGGUAGUCCAUGCCGUAAACGGUGGGCGCUAGGUGGAGGGUUCUUCCACGACUUCUGUGCCGUAGCUAACGCAUUAAGCGCCCCGCCUGGGGAGUACGGCCGCAAGGCUAAAACUCAAAGGAAUUGACGGGG